rfam:Candida albicans SC5314 mitochondrion, complete genome.
GGGAUCAUGGAUUAAUGGUAAAUCACUCGCGUUGCAUGCGAGGUAUAUCGGUUCAAUUCCGAUUGAUUCCA